rnacentral:rRNA from 1 species
GUGGGGAAUCUUGCGCAAUGGGCGAAAGCCUGACGCAGCCAUGCCGCGUGAAUGAUGAAGGUCUUAGGAUUGUAAAAUUCUUUCACCGGGGACGAUAAUGACGGUACCCGGAGAAGAAGCUCCGGCUAACUUCGUGCCAGCAGCCGCGGUAAUACGAAGGGGGCUAGCGUUGCUCGGAAUUACUGGGCGUAAAGGGCGCGUAGGCGGACAGCUUAGUCAGAGGUGAAAGCCCAGGGCUCAACCUUGGAAUUGCCUUUGAUACUGGCUGUCUUGAGUUUGGGAGAGGUGAGUGGAACUCCGAGUGUAGAGGUGAAAUUCGUAGAUAUUCGGAAGAACACCAGUGGCGAAGGCGACUCACUGGCCCAAUACUGACGCUGAGGCGCGAAAGCGUGGGGAGCAAACAGGAUUAGAAACCCGAGUAUCC